AUUCGGUCCCAGGGCUUUGUAUUUGGGAAAUAGCAUAAUAAUUUUGCAUAUCUCAUCUUUGGUGUAGGAGCUGUAAGAGCUAUUUUUUGAUCUCCAUGAAGCUUAGGUAAAUGCAUAUCUUUAAAGAAGACAAUAUUCUGAGGGUUGAGGAGUGCAAGAGUCAUUGUGGAAGAUCGUACAGGGUUUUACUGGUGCAUAUUUGUACAGCUUUUAUCUCG